AAUUUCGUACUUAGUGUAACUUUCUUUCGUGUCGCCGUUAUUCACACAAUAUCGAGGAAAAUUCAACCAAAUCAGAGAGAUAACACACAAGCCCUAAUUUUGGAAAUGAGAAAAUUCGAUCCGUGGCCGAUCUUUUUCCGCCGGGAGUGGAGCCGCAACUGGCCGUUUCUGGUUGGUUUCGCCGUCACCGGCACUAUCAUCACCAAGAUGUCCCUCGGUUUUACUGAGGAGGAUGCAAAGAACUCUCCAUUUGUGCAAAAGCAUAAGAAAUGAAUCUGGCCAUCCUUAAGGUUGCUGCUGUGUGGAGGCUACCUUACUUGACAGCUCUUUUUUCUUUUGUGCACCUUUUUUUUUUUUUUAU
rnacentral:misc_RNA from 1 species